GCUGGAAGGAGACAUAUGGGAAGAAAUAAGAUUCCAAACGAAGGUUCUAAUGAAGGUCCACACAGAUAUAGUUACUUGAAUCUGAAGAGAAAAAGAACACAGAUAUAUUGAUAAAUAUCAUAAUUUUUUUCUGGCCUAAAAUAUAGGGAAAUUUUCCAUGUUAUUCAUUUCUUGAUUUCUGAUUAUUUUUGUGCUUAUAUGUUACGUGUGGAU
rnacentral:lncRNA from 1 species